rnacentral:tRNA from 1 species
GCCUCCGUGGCGCAAUCGGCUAGCGCGUUCGGCUGUUAACCGAAAGGUUUGUGGUUCGAGCAAACCCGGGGGCG